CAGUCGCCGCGGGAAUACGAAGGGGGCUAGCGUUGCUCGGAAUGACUGGGCGUAAAGGGCGCGUAGGCGGCGAUCAAAGUCAGGCGUGAAAUUCCUGGGCUCAACCUGGGGGCUGCGCUUGAUACUUGGUUGCUUGAGUGGGGAAGAGGGUCGUGGAAUUCCCAGUGUAGAGGUGAAAUUCGUAGAUAUUGGGAAGAACACCGGUGGCGAAGGCGGCGACCUGGUCCUUGACUGACGCUGAGGCGCGAAAGCGUGGGGAGCAAACAGGAUUAGAUACCCGGGUAGUCCCUGUCUCUUAUAC
rnacentral:rRNA from 1 species